CACGUAGGGUGCGAGCGUUGUCCGGAAUUAUUGGGCGUAAAGAGCCUCGUAGGCGGUGUGUCGCGUCGGCCGUGAAAACCUACAGCUUAACUGUGGGCUUGCGGUCGAUACGGGCAUCACUGGAGUUCGGCAGGGGAGACUGGAAUUCCUGGUGUAGCGGUGAAAUGCGCAGAUAUCAGGAGGAACACCGGUGGCGAAGGCGGGUCUCUGGGCCGAUACUGACGCUGAGGAGCGAAAGCGUGGGGAGCGAACAGG
rnacentral:rRNA from 1 species